UAACGCGUGGAUAACCUGCCUCACACAGGGGGAUAACAGUUAGAAAUGACUGCUAAUACCGCAUAAGCGCACGGCAUCGCAUGAUGCAGUGUGAAAAACUACCGGUGGUGUGAGAUGGAUCCGCGUCUGAUUAGGUAGUUGGUGGGGUAACGGCCUACCAAGCCGACGAUCAGUAGCCGACCUGAGAGGGUGACCGGCCACAUUGGGACUGAGACACGGCCCAA
rnacentral:rRNA from 1 species